GCAGGUUUUCAUUUUUUUCGGUGACAAUACAGAUUAGCGCCGCCUGCUGUUAUGGAGACGUAUUACGUGUCGCGCACGUGCAGAACGUUCGCUCAAGUCGACGUCCCUUCGGUGUAUUCCGAGGCAUUUUUUUGACUAACUCGGUGAUUGACUGCC